rnacentral:rRNA from 1 species
GACGAACGCUUGCGACGUGCCUAAGAAAUGCAAGUCGAACGAGGCAGCAAUGCCGAGUGGCGAACGGUCGCGUAACACGUGGGCAACCUGCCCCGAAGCGGGGGACAACAACCCGAAAGGGUUGCUAAUACCGCAUGUGGAUCGCUGUGGCAUCACAGAGGAUCCAAAGCCGCAAGGCACUUCGGGAUGGGCCCGCGGCCUAUCAGCUUGUUGGUGAGGUAACGGCCCACCAAGGCUUCGACGGGUAGCUGGUCUGGGAGGACGAUCAGCCGGAUUG